rnacentral:misc_RNA from 1 species
CAUUUCAGUUAACGUACCCGAAUGCACUUACAUAAGUGACUUACACAAUAUUGCUAUCGUUAUCCAAUACUAAAAAUGGAUGAUACCUCGAAGGUUCACAACUUCGCUUGAACAUUUCAUGAACGAGAUCAGUCUACACAGAGAGUUCCGAGAAAAAUUCCGUCACCGCUGCGUAAUGCGAUUCACGAAUCAAAAGGCUGUAUAAUGAGAAAGAAGCUGCAUGUGCGAUGAUUAAGCCGACGCGACGUUAUCGGCCAAAGUUGUCUGAAGGUGAAAAAACCGGUCUGUAUAAUGCCUUCAAGAUAUUGGACGUUGUUGGAACUCUAUGAUACAAGACGUGAGAUCCGCUGGAGAUGUAGUGAAGAAAAUUUGAAUACGGCAUCAAAGGAUUUUCCGUUUCUCGAUUAUUACGCAUUGAUAAUCAUAUAAGGUGUAAACUCGUCUUCGCGGCAACCCCGGCUGUAAUUGAGGCAAACAUGGUUAUGCUUGGCUGACUUUUGUAUAAAAGGAAUUAAACAACUUUGGGAUCGUUAAAGACCAGUUUGAAACCAGUUCCAAGAAACGACAACAGCUGAAAUACUGUACUUAUUGCAAUUAUUAUCAUUCACUACUCGUAUAUCGUAACAGGAAAGGCCCGUGCACGAUGUUACUUAUACUUGUACAUAAUAUAUAUGUAUUGAUUUCGUGCCUAAAUUUCGUGUUUCAGUAGCAACGGCAGAUGAAUGUGAGAACUAUUUCCAGUUUCAUCAGAAAAACUAUGUUUCUUACAACUAUUUACACUUAAAAAUAUUUUAAUAUAAGAUUUUCUACGCAAAACAUAUCGUAUAUACGCAUCAGUUAACAAGACAUUACUCUUACACCUUGUGUAACAAGAAGUGUAUGCCAUUAUAGCAGUCGCAUUAUCAGAUACAACAAUGAGUAAAAAUAGAUGGAAAUAACGAGGCAAGAUAUGCACUAUCAGUUAAGAUACUUAAAAACAAGGAAAAGCUGUCCGCGUUCAUUUUUCUCCAAAAAAAAGAAAAAACUUCU